rnacentral:rRNA from 1 species
CUUAAGCAUGCAAGUCGAGCGGGCUUAUUCGGGCAACUGGAUAAGUUAGCGGCGAACUGGUGAGUAACACGUAGGUAAUCUGCCGUAGAGUGGGGGAUAACCCAUGGAAACAUGGACUAAUACCGCAUAUACUCUUGACGCUAAAGCGUAGUAGAGGAAAGGAGCAAUCCGCUUUACGAUGAGCCUGCGGCCUAUUAGCCU